rnacentral:rRNA from 1 species
GUGGGGAAUUUUGGACAAUGGGGGCAACCCUGAUCCAGCCAUGCCGCGUGCGGGAAGAAGGCCUUCGGGUUGUAAACCGCUUUUGUCAGGGAAGAAAUCCUUUGGGUUAAUACCUCGGAGGGAUGACGGUACCUGAAGAAUAAGCACCGGCUAACUACGUGCCAGCAGCCGCGGUAAUACGUAGGGUGCGAGCGUUAAUCGGAAUUACUGGGCGUAAAGCGUGCGCAGGCGGUUUUGUAAGAUCGAUGUGAAAUCCCCGGGCUCAACCUGGGAAUUGCGCUUGUGACUGCAAGGCUGGAGUGCGGCAGAGGGGGAUGGAAUUCCGCGUGUAGCAGUGAAAUGCGUAGAUAUGCGGAGGAACACCGAUGGCGAAGGCAAUCCCCUGGGCCUGCACUGACGCUCAUGCACGAAAGCGAGGGGAGCAAACAGGAUUAGAUACCCGGGUAGUCC